rnacentral:rRNA from 1 species
AGAAUCCUUCGGGCUUCUGCAAGGUGCUGCAUGGUUGUCGUCAGCUCGUGCCGUGAGGUGUCGGGUUAAGUCCCAUAACGAGCGCAACCCUUAUCGUUAGUUGCCAUCUGGUAAUGCAGGGGACUCUAGCGAAACUGCCACCGUAAGGUGAGAGGAAGGUGGGGAUGACGUCAAAUCAGCACGGCCCUUAUGUCCAGGGCUACACACGUGUUACAAUGGCCGGUACAGAGGGCAGCUACCUGGUGACAGGAUGCUAAUCUCGAAAACCGGUCUCAGUUCGGAUCGAAGUCUGCAACUCGACUUCGUGAAGCUGGAUUCGCUAGUAAUCGCGCAUCAGCUAUGGCGCGGUGAAUACGUUCCCGGGCCUU